AGCGAACGCUGGCGGCAGGCUUAACACAUGCAAGUCGAACGGGCAUCUUCGGAUGUCAGUGGCAGACGGGUGAGUAACACGUGGGAACGUACCCUUCGGUUCGGAAUAACUCAGGGAAACUUGAGCUAAUACCGGAUACGCCCUUUUGGGGAAAGGUUUACUGCCGAAGGAUCGGCCCGCGUCUGAUUAGCUUGUUGGUGGGGUAACGGCCUACCAAGGCGACGAUCAGUAGCUGGUCUGAGAGGAUGAUCAGCCACACUGGGACUGAGACACGGCCCAGCCCCCCACGGGAGGCAGCAGGGGGGAAAAUUGGACAAGGGGCGCAAGCCUGACCCAUCCAUGCCCGGGGAGGGAAGAAGGCCUUAGGGUUGAAAAGCCCUUUUGUCCGGGAAGAUAAUGACGGGCCCGGAAGAAUAAGCCCCGGCAAACUUCGU
rnacentral:rRNA from 1 species